rnacentral:rRNA from 1 species
GAUGAACGCUGGCGGCAUGCCUAAUACAUGCAAGUCGAGCGAACACGCGAGUAGCUGUCUCCUCUGGCGGUGGCGGGGUACGUGUGAGUAACACGCGGAUAACCUACCUAUAAGUAUGGGAUAACUUCGGGAAAUCGUAGCUAAUACCGGCUAAUAUUUUGAACUGGAUGUUUCAAUAGUGAAAGACGGUGUUGCUGGCUCUGAUAGAUGGAUCCGCGCCGCAUGAGAUAGUUGGUAAGGUAACGGCUUACGAAGGGGACGAUGCGUAGGCGACCUGAGAGGGUGAUAGGCGACACUGGAACUGAGACACGGUCCAGACUCCUACGGGAGGCAGCCGUCGGGAGUCUUCCGCCCAGGGCGCCCGCCUGCCGCCGCCCCGCCGCGUGGGUGAUGACGGUCUUCGGAUCGUAAAACUCUGUUAUUAGGGACGCCCCCCUGUGUCCGUCCCUCUGCGCGUCUUGCCGGUCCCUCCUCCGCCGGCCCCGGCUCGCUACGUG